CGACUCGAGCGCCAGCGAGAGAGCGUUGCCGCAGGCAACGACCCGAAGGGCGAAGCGCGCAGCGCUGAGUAAUCCUUCCCCCACCACCA
rnacentral:sRNA from 1 species